rnacentral:rRNA from 1 species
CCGCACCAGCGGUGGAGCAUGUGGUUUAAUUCGAUGCAACGCGCAGAACCUUACCAGCCCCUGACAUCCCGGUCGCGGGGAGUGGAGACACACCCCUUCAGUUAGGCUGGACCGGUGACAGGUGCUGCAUGGCUGUAGUCAGCUCGUGUCGUGAGAUGUUGGGUUAAGUCCCGCAACGAGCGCAACCCUCGCCUUCAGUUGCCAGCGGUUCGGCCGGGCACUCUGAAGGAACUGCCGGUGAUAAGCCGGAGGAAGGUGGGGAUGACGUCAAGUCCUCAUGGCCCUUACGGGCUGGGCUACACACGUGCUACAAUGGCGAUGACAGAGGGCAGCGAAGCCGCGAGGCUGAGCAAAUCCCUAAAGUCGUCUCAGUUCGGAUUGUACUCUGCAACUCGAGUGCAUGAAGGUGGAAUCGCUAGUAAUCGCGGAUCAGCAUGCCGCGGUGAAUACGUUCCCGGGCCUUGUACACACCGCCCGUCACACCAUGGGAUUUGGUUGCACCC